GGGGCUGUGGCUCAGAGGUAGAGCACUCGCCUAGCAUGUGUGAGGCACUGGGUUUGAUCCUCAGCACCA
rnacentral:tRNA from 1 species